rnacentral:rRNA from 1 species
GACGAACGCUGGCGGCGUGCCUAAUACAUGCAAGUAGGACGCAGUUGCGAACGGGUGAGUAACGCGUAGGUAACUGCCUAUUAGAGGGGGAUAACUAUUGGAAACGAUAGCUAAUACCGCAUACUAGUAGAUGGACCUGCGUUGUGUUAGCUAGUAGGUAGGGUAAUGGCCUACCUAGGCGACGAUACAUAGCCGACCUGGGAGGUGGAUCGGCCACACUGGGAAUGAGUAACGGCCCCGUCUCCCACUGGAGGGAGGAGUAGGGAAUCUUCGGAAAUGGGGGGAACCCUGGCCGAGCAACGCCGCGUGAUUGAAGAAGGUUUUCGGAUCUUAAAGCUCUGUUGUUAAGGAAGCGGUACUUAACCAGAAAGGGACGGCUAACUACGUGCCAGCAGCCGCGGUAAUAC